UACGUAGGGCGCAAGCGUUGUCCGGAAUUAUUGGGCGUAAAGAGCUCGUAGGCGGCUUGUCACGUCGGGUGUGAAAGCCCGGGGCUUAACCCCGGGUCUGCGUUCGAUACGGGCUAGCUAGAGUCCGGAAGAGGAGAGUGGAAUUCCCGGUGUAGCGGUGAAAUGCGCAGAUAUCGGGAAGAACACCCGUGGCUAAGGCGGCUCUCUAGUACGGUACUGACGCUGAGACGCGAAAGCGUGGGGAGCGAACAGG
rnacentral:rRNA from 1 species